GCUCAACCGAUGACUAUUUUAGAUUCAUUCAGUAUAUAGAUUAAGUCAAAGUUGGAAUACGUUAUCACAGAAGGCAAACCAGUGACUGUUUAUAUGAGACAAUGAAGAUAGCAGAAAUAAUGCGUAGCAUUUGGGUAAGACCUUCACUCAGACACCGAUUGACUUUUAUUACAUAGAAAAUGAGAUUAUUACCUCCUAUGGAGGGUUGUUUUCACUUUGCAGAGAAGAAGGCGCGGUUUAUCAUGCAAAUAAAAGAAAGCCUUGCAAAAUAUUCGAUUUAUUUCGCGACAAACAAAACAAGGGUAUUUGUUAAAAAGAUCAGGCUGGCGUCUCUUACGGUAAUUCUGAUAAUGCAAGUUAAGCUGAUUAAAAUAUACCUAAAUAAAGGAUGAUGGAUAGUGUAAAGACCCUUGAAGAGUUUUCCACUACAGCUGACAAGGUAGAAAAUGAUACUCUUUCAUAUUUAUGGCAGAUCGGUCGCAGUGCUUUUUUUUUUUGCCCAAUCCUACAGUUACCGCAAUAGUGUUGGAAUGUUUGCCACAAAGAUAAGUGGAGUAUUCGAGUUCUAUUGACGACUAGACCUCUUUCGCUGAAGAGUGUCAGCUUACAGAUUGGUCAAAGAUAGAUAUCAGUGUUCUGUGUAAGCGGAGUAGUUUGUCCUCAUCAGUGAGUCCUUCAUGGCACCUGUAUAGAGAUUCAACCUGGCGAGUCUACCGUCAUAUCUCUUAACUAAAGUUAAGUUUGAAAGCUAUUGUGACUUACGAGAUCUCCAAUCUUAGACGGGCAGCUUUUCGUGGCGUUGACGCGGCGACAGCAUCAUAGCCAAACCAAAGUCAAGUUAGUUUUCCAGCUGGUAAAAGAUGGUCGGUAUACUUGACUCAGUUAGGAAGAUACGUGAUUUGGAGAAAAUCAAAUCUAUUUCAUUGACAUGUCAAGCACAUUGGCUGGACUAUGAGGACUCAGGCAGAUUUAUCAACUAAAUUUCGGAGAGACAACACUCAACGAAAUUUCACUGUGAGCAUUUUUAUAUAGGUGCCUUAUCGUGCAGCCCUUCAAUUAAUUCACUUGACCUCUUAGAAAGAGAGGAUAUUUCAUUCAUCAAGCAGAUACUCUUACCUACUUCGGAUAAAGCGAAAACAGAAAUUGUAUCACGCAAGAGGGGAACAGCUCCGACUUCCAGUUAUUGGCAAUAUCUUAAUUGAUACCAGUGCAAGCCUUUACUGAGGACGAAAUUCCAGUGCUGUCUGAUUUGUUAUUAGAUUGCUAUGGACUUAAGGUGCAUCACAUCGACUUUUCAAUCGGCGAUGAAAUGAUCAGUUUGAAGACAGAUUUUAUUUGAGUACAAUUUGGGGUUAAGAACAGACAGCACAAGUUGGCUAAUUGAUCACUGAAAGAAGAUCAAAGGUCGGGAUGGGUCCUACUGCGAGUCUGUUAAUUUUAGCCUUUGGAGUCUUGGUCAUGGUAAAUUCUGCACCAGUCAACGACAAGCUACCAAAACUCGGAAGGAUUAUGUCCGUUACCCAUAGAGUAAGGCGCGAUUCAACACCACCCCCUCCUCGACCUUGUGUUAAUGCUACACCCACUACACGUGCAAAUGUCGGAGCGGUAGUGAAAAAGAAGAUCAAAAUUUUCAAGAAAAAGAUUAUCGGCCAAAUUCUUUCUGUCGCCAAGAGAGUGAGGCGAGAAGAGCCAACCGUACCCAAUCCCCGGCCCUGUUGAUAAUUUAUCCGCAAAGGCUGAGAGUGAACUCGGAGAAAAAGAAGAAGACUGAAGAUACCAUGGAACAAACAGUUUAAACUGAGAAGGAUUCCAUGGCAGAAGUUUCCAUUUUAAAAGUGUAAUUCACAUUUAGCGCAAUUUAUUGGUAUUUUGAUGUUCAAUUUCCACCAUAUUUAUUAGUGUUGGAGCUCUUAAGGGAAUUCAAGAGUACAAAGAUAAGCAAGAAAACAAAAAAAGAUAACUGAAUUUUUGCUUUCUUUAAAACGCAACACAGCAGGAAAUUUUACUGUUUGACACUUAAAACUUGGUGUGCAAGUAAUGUAAAUAAAACAAUAACAUGAACUGAAGUGAAAAAAUAUCUUGAGAUUACGAUAAUGAUGCAGUUUUUCACCGGAACUUAGAGCUUUCUGUUAACUCGUGAGCAUCAGUAGUCAAAUCAAAACACGACAAUCAUGUUUAUUGUAUGAAACUUGGUGUCAGGGCCAGUUAUACCGGGUUAUUGAGUAGUGCUGACUCUCUAAAAUUAGUUACAAAACAGCCCAGCGUGGCUGCUCUCUUAGCUUUCCUUGGCUUCUUAGAAGGCUUUAUUGAAAGUUCGAUCUCCACAUCACAUAGUCACCAAUGAAAAGUAA